GGGCGUAAGGAUGCGUAGGCUGGAAAUCAAGUCGAGAGUGAAAUCCAACGGCUCAACCGUUGAACUGCUCUCGAAACUGGUUACCUAGAAUAUGGGAGAGGUAGAUGGAAUUGGUGGUGUAGGGGUAAAAUCCGUAGAUAUCACCAGGAAUACCGAUUGCGAAGGCGAUCUACUGGAACAUUAUUGACGCUGAGGCAUGAAAGCGUGGGGAGCAAACAGGAUUAGAUACCCUGGUAGUCCACGCCCUAAACGAUGCACACUAGUUGUUGCGAUGCUAGUCAUUGCAGUAAUGCACUUAACAGAUUAAGUGUGCCGCCUGGGGAGUACGGUCGCAAGAUUAAAACUCAAAGGAAUAGACGGGGACCCGCACAAGCGGUGGAGCAUGUGGUUUAAUUCGAAGAUACACGAAGAACCUUACCUGGGCUUGAUAUCCUAAGAAUCCUGUAGAGAUAUGGGAGUGCUAGUUUACUAGAACUUAGAGACAGGUGCUGCACGGCUGUCGUCAGCUCGUGUCGUGAGAUGUUGGGUUAAGUCCCGCAACGAGCGCAACCCUCGUGAUUAGUUGCUAACAGUUCGGCUGAGCACUCUAAUCAGACUGCCUUCGCAAGGAGGAGGAAGGUGAGGACGACGUCAAGUCAUCAUGGCCCUUAUGCCCAGGGCUACACACGUGCUACAAUGGCUAGGACAAAGAGAAGCGAUACUGCGAAGUGGAGCAAAUCCUAAAACCUAGUCUCAGUUCGGAUUGGAGUCUGCAACUCGACUCCAUGAGGCUGGAAUCGCUAGUAAUCGUAGAUCAGAUAUGCUACGGUGA
rnacentral:rRNA from 1 species